AGAGUUUGAUCCUGGCUCAGGAUGAACGCUGGCGGCGUGCCUAACACAUGCAAGUCGAACGGGUGUACGGGAUGGAAGGCUCCGGCCGGAAGCCCCGUGCAUGAGUGGCGGACGGGUGAGUAACGCGUGGGCAACCUGCCCUGUACAGGGGGACAACACUUAGAAAUAGGUGCUAAUACCGCAUAACGGGGGGAGCCGCAUGGCACCCCCCUGAAAACUCCGGUGGUACAGGAUGGGCCCGCGUCUGAUUAGCUGGUUGGCAGGGUAACGGCCUACCAAGGCGACGAUCAGUAGCCGGCCCGAGAGGGCGGACGGCCACACUGGGACUGAGACACGGCCCAGACUCCUACGGGAGGCAGCAGUGGGGGAUAUUGCACAAUGGGGGGAACCCUGAUGCAGCGACGCCGCGUGGGUGAAGGAGCGUUUCGGCGCGUAAAGCCCUAUCGGCAGGGAAGAAGGAGGACGGUACCUGACUAAGAAGCCCCGGCUAACUACGUG
rnacentral:rRNA from 1 species